rnacentral:snRNA from 14 species
AUAUUUACCCAGCAGGGAAGGAGAACAGCCUGCUCAGGAAGGUGGUUUUCCCAGGGUGAGGGUCAUCCCUUGAGUUCCUAGAGUGCUGAUCUUUAAUUUUCUGAAAUUAAGGAAAUUCAGCUGCACCAUUUGUAGUUAACUGGGCUGUGUUCACUCUCUUCCUAU